rnacentral:rRNA from 1 species
ACAUGCAAGUCGAGCGAACGGACGAGAAGCUUGCUUCUCUGAUGUUAGCGGCGGACGGGUGAGUAACACGUGGAUAACCUACCUAUAAGACUGGGAUAACUUCGGGAAACCGGAGCUAAUACCGGAUAAUAUUUUGAACCGCAUGGUUCAAAAGUGAAAGACGGUCUUGCUGUCACUUAUAGAUGGAUCCGCGCUGCAUUAGCUAGUUGGUAAGGUAACGGCUUACCAAGGCAACGAUGCAUAGCCGACCUGAGAGGGUGAUCGGCCACACUGGAACUGAGACACGGUCCAGACUCCUACGGGAGGCAGCAGUAGGGAAUCUUCCGCAAUGGGCGAAAGCCUGACGGAGCAACGCCGCGUGAGUGAUGAAGGUCUUCGGAUCGUAAAACUCUGUUAUUAGGGAAGAACAUAUGUGUAAGUAACUGUGCACAUCUUGACGGUACCUAAUCAGAAAGCCACGGCUAACUACGUGCCAGCAGCCGCGGUAAUACGUAGGUGGCAAGCGUUAUCCGGAAUUAUUGGGCGUAAAGCGCGCGUAGGCGGUUUUUUAAGUCUGAUGUGAAAGCCCACGGCUCAACCGUGGAGGGUCAUUGGAAACUGGAAAACUUGAGUGCAGAAGAGGAAAGUGGAAUUCCAUGUGUAGCGGUGAAAUGCGCAGAGAUAUGGAGGAACACCAGUGGCGAAGGCGACUUUCUGGUCUGUAACUGACGCUGAUGUGCGAAAGCGUGGGGAUCAAACAGGAUUAGAUACCCUGGUAGUCCACGCCGUAAACGAUGAGUGCUAAGUGUUAGGGGGUUUCCGCCCCUUAGUGCUGCAGCUAACGCAUUAAGCACUCCGCCUGGGGAGUACGACCGCAAGGUUGAAACUCAAAGGAAUUGACGGGGACCCGCACAAGCGGUGGAGCAUGUGGUUUAAUUCGAAGCAACGCGAAGAACCUUACCAAAUCUUGACAUCCUUUGACAA